rnacentral:lncRNA from 1 species
UUUAACUUGAGCACUAUCUUGCUGCUCAUUGUUUUAACUGAACCUGUGGCCAAGUUAUUCUGUCUGUGUCUUGCUUCGUUCUCAAUAAGAUUAAGCCUGCAGAGUAAAAAAAAUCAAUGAAAAAUUAUACGACCUAAGUACAAAGAACUUUACUUUUUUGUUUCCUGGAGAUGUUUAUAGUUACAGCAAUGUUGGUCAACAUAUGAUUCUGCAAUCAUUGUACUUAAAGACUGGAGGUAGUUGCCAGUGACUUGACAAUUGGCAGUAAAUUAAUAAUAGUCAUUGAGUAACUCAUGUGUUGCUACAUUUGUAAUGACCUAAUUGUUUAUAAUCAAUCUUGUCAGUACUAAAAGGUGAGUAUCAACAUUUUCUAGUAAUCCCUGAUUAAUGCAUUUUUUUUUAUAAUUAAACGGUCUCGUGAAAUGCAUUCAUUCCAAACUUGUAUCAGUAUAUUGUCGGUCUGUGGGGUUACUGUUUUAUUUUCCCCGCUGUGAAACCUUAACUGUGAUUAUACCGUACUAAUGUACUAGCCCAAUGUUGUUUCUCUAUAAUUCAAUGCAAAAACGAUUCCUCAUAGGUCAAUCUGUCUCUUUUAGGCUCUUCUUUCUUACGCUAUAUCCAACUGAGUCCCCUCUUAACUCUUGACAGUACUUUGCCUAAUCUUACACUUUUACAAAUGACAAGCUCAUCCUAGUCUCUUUGCUCUUGGAAAUUCUUUAAAUGAUUAUACAUGAGACCUUGUAUGUAUAUGAUCUGUUCGAUAAUAACACAGAGAUUCCUAUAUUCCUUAGAAGCACCACGAGGUGCUGAAUACGUUAGUCUGUGUAGAAAAUAUACCUAUCCAACGCUAAGAAGUGUAGUACCACCUCAAACAUUUUUUAAGCUCUAGUACGAUGCAGCAAAUGAAGGUGAACUGCGUUAAAUAUAUGAGAUCCCUAUUUACACCUAACUGAAGUAUCAGACAGUGAUAAAAUUAAUGAUUUAAAAAGACAACAAAACCUCAUUAAAAUUAAUGUUCAAGGUGAAGAAAACAGAAUUAUCGGUAGGAAAAUAACAACUUAAUUAAUGCUUGUAAAUAACGAGCAAGUUCUCAUUCUAGCAAAAAUAUCAAUUUGAAAAUAAGUCGCUAAGCGAGCAGCUGGUGCAUGAUUUGACACUUCAAAAACUUUACACUCAUUUGCGUCAAGGCUCAACUUAUUCGGUUUAUAUAGAACAUACACCAUCCAUCCCAUAGAAAACCAACCUCUGGUUAGGUUUAAAUUCCAAAAGUUGUUUUUUUAGGAUGGAGGAAGUAAAAUACAAGUAAGACAAAAAAAAAAAGAGAAGAUGAAACAAACUAGUACUUGAGGAAUUCUUUUGGAAAUAAAAAUUGCACUCUGUUGUUGAAAGAUUCAAGCUCAAGAGCAAACUGAAUUUAUCCCCCAAAACGUCUCAUGAAACUCCUGAUUCAAUACUACAUCAAAUUUCAGCGAAAUAACUCGAGAUCAUUUGACACAUCAUCAAACAAUAUGUUGAACUCACCUCAUGUUCUUGUCAAUCGAUCCUUUUCUCAAGAGCUAAGCCUCCUCAUCCACAGCCACCAAUCUCGUCUCUUUGCCUUUUAUCUUGCACAUAAAACCGAAUUUCCUAGAGAACACACUCAAGAAAAAUUCAAUAUAUAUAACCAUAGAAUCCCACACAUCAUCACUCACUCUCUAGCACGAACACAAAAGAGACACGGGAUCGACUGCCAUUAUCUAGAAGCUUCUAGAACCUCUCCUCUUGGGAAAACAAUGGAGACAAGCUACCUAGGAUGAGAAAGUAAACCACUCGUUGUAGCUAGGAACACUGGAGAGAGAGAGAGAGAGAGAGAGAGAGAGCGAGCGAGCUAGGACUUCCUCAGGUGACUGCUUA